UACGGGGGGAGCAAGCGUUGUUCGGAUUUACUGGGCGUAAAGGGCGCGUAGGCGGCCAGCACAAGUCAGUUGUGAAAUCUCCGAGCUUAACUCGGAACGGUCAACUGAUACUGUGCGGCUAGAGUGCGGAAGGGGCAACUGGAAUUCUUGGUGUAGCGGUGAAAUGCGUAGAUAUCAAGAGGAACACCUGCGGCGAAGGCGGGUUGCUGGGCCGACACUGACGCUAGGCGCGAAGCC
rnacentral:rRNA from 1 species